AUUGCACCAAUUUCUAAGUCACUCUGGAUAAGAGCGUCUGCUAAAUGACGUAAA
rfam:Salmo salar isolate Sally breed double haploid chromosome ssa09, whole genome shotgun sequence.